rnacentral:rRNA from 1 species
AUUGAACGCUGGCGGCAUGCUUUACACAUGCAAGUCGAACGGUAACAGGCCGCAAGGUGCUGACGAGUGGCGAACGGGUGAGUAAUGCAUCGGAACGUGCCCAGUCGUGGGGGAUAACUGCUCGAAAGAGCAGCUAAUACCGCAUACGAUCUAUGGAUGAAAGCGGGGGACCGUAAGGCCUCGCGCGAUUGGAGCGGCCGAUGUCAGAUUAGGUAGUUGGUGGGGUAAAGGCUCACCAAGCCAACGAUCUGUAGCUGGUCUGAGAGGACGACCAGCCACACUGGGACUGAGACACGGCCCAGACUCCUACGGGAGGCAGCAGUGGGGAAUUUUGGACAAUGGGGGCAACCCUGAUCCAGCAAUGCCGCGUGCAGGAAGAAGGCCUUCGGGCUGUAAACUGCUUUUGUACGGAACGAAACGGUCUGGGUUAAUACCCUGGGCUAAUGACGGUACCGUAAGAAUAAGCACCGGCUAACUACGUGCCAGCAGCCGCUGUAAGAC